rnacentral:rRNA from 1 species
UGGGGAAUUUUGCGCAAUGGGGGAAACCCUGACGCAGCAACGCCGCGUGGAGGAUGAAAUCCCUUGGGAUGUAAACUCCUUUCGAUCGGGACGAUAAUGACGGUACCGAUAGAAGAAGCCCCGGCUAACUUCGUGCCAGCAGCCGCGGUAAUACGAGGGGGGCAAGCGUUGUUCGGAAUUAUUGGGCGUAAAGGGUGCGUAGGCGGUUUGACAAGUUCUAUGUGAAAUCUAUGGGCUCAACCCAUAGUCUGCAUGGAAAACUGUCAGGCUUGAGGAUGGGAGAGGUGAGUGGAAUUUCCGGUGUAGCGGUGAAAUGCGUAGAUAUCGGAAGGAACACCUGUGGCGAAAGCGGCUCACUGGACCAUUUCUGACGCUGAUGCACGAAAGCUAGGGGAGCAAACA